rnacentral:rRNA from 1 species
GACGAACGCUGGCGGCGUGAUUAACACAUGCAAGUCGAACGGAAAGGCCCUGCUUUUGUGGGGUGCUCGAGUGGCGAACGGGUGAGUAACACGUGAGUAACCUGCCCUUGACUUUGGGAUAACUUCAGGAAACUGGGGCUAAUACCGGAUAGGAGCUCCUGCUGCAUGGUGGGGGUUGGAAAGUUUCGGCGGUUGGGGAUGGACUCGCGGCUUAUCAGCUUGUUGGUGGGGUAGUGGCUUACCAAGGCUUUGACGGGUAGCCGGCCUGAGAGGGUGACCGGCCACAGUGGGACUGAGAUACGGCCCAGACUCCUACGGGAGGCAGCAGUGGGGAAUAUUGCACAAUGGGCGGAAGCCUGAUGCAGCAACGCCGCGUGCGGGAUGACGGCCUUCGGGUUGUAAACCGCUUUCGCCUGUGACGAAGCGUGAGUGACGGUAAUGGGUAAAGAAGCACCGGCUAACUACGUG